CAGAGUGAUGGAAACCUGGGGCAUUAGCUGAUUGAGCAGAAAAUGAUGUUGCAAAAGACCGGCCAGUCGAGUCAGGUA